GAACGCUGGCGGCAGGCUUAACACAUGCAAGUCGAGCGGUAGCAGAUCUAGCUUGCUAGAUGCUGACGAGCGGCGGACGGGUGAGUAACGCGUAGGAACCUGCCCAGUAGUGGGGGAUAGCCCGGGGAAACUCGGAUUAAUACCGCAUACGCUCUACGGAGGAAAGAGGGCUUCGGCUCUCGCUAUUGGAUGGGCCUGCGUGAGAUUAGCUAGUUGGUGAGGUAAUGGCUCACCAAGGCGACGAUCUCUAGCUGGUCUGAGAGGACGAUCAGCCACACUGGGACUGGGACACGGCCCAGACUCCUACGGGAGGCAGCAGUGGGGAAUAUUGCACAAUGGGCGCAAGCCUGAUGCAGCCAUGCCGCGUGUGUGAAGAAGGCUUUCGGGUAGUAAAGCACUUUCAGUGGGGAGGAAGGCCUCGUAGUUAAUAGCUGCGAGGAUUGACGUUACCCACAGAAGAAGCACCGGCUAACUCCGUG
rnacentral:rRNA from 1 species